GUCCUCAGGUACCUUCCCCAUGACCCCCCAUCUUUGUGCCGGUGCUUGUUUCCUCUGCCUUUGAGGUGGGCACCUCCUUCUCCGUGCAACCUGGGCACCGGAACGUCGAAAGGCCAGGAGAGACAGACGCCAUGUCCUCCGCUCGUGCUCCGAGAGCCACCCUGGCCACCAGCAGCAAGACGUGGUGACAAUGAGGAAAGACCUGUGGCCCUGAGCCGGAUCCAGCCCGCAGGGAUGAUGGAUCUGCACUGGGUUUGGUACCUGAGGGCUUGCAAAAGGGUGAAGCGUGCUUACAGCAGAUGGUCGCAGCGAGCAGCAUCCUGCGGGGAGCAUUAUAAUGGUCAAGUCCUGAGCUGACAAAGGCUGAACAUCUACCCCGUAACGCUGAAAUAAAGAGCUGAAGCCUACCAAGGGCUCGUUAGCCUUCACUGCUUUUUACGAACUCCUUCGAAGCAGUCCCCUGAUGUCCAGGAAAGCCCUGGGCUCGACCGUGUUUUGAAAAAAUCUGAAGAUGUCUCCACGUUGAUAAACAUUCAGGCCCAAGACAUUUGAAGAAACAACGUCCUCUUUCUUAUUCCCACCGUGGUGAGCGUAUGUCCGGCUGUGCGGGGGUCUGAGCAUCCCAUGGCCCGGAUUCCUUUCCUGACUUGCAAUUGUUUUGCUGCGUGACCUAUCUUCGUCAUCGCUCCCCACAGCCCUGACUGCUGUCACCCUCCAGUCCUGGGAAAGGCGCUUAACCUCGCUGAGGUUCAGUCGUGACCUCUGCAAAAAGAAAUUGCUUCAGAGCCUGACACGACGAGCGCGCUGGAAGCUGGAAACGAGCUGCUUUUGCUCGUUAACGGGAGCUCAGAGGAGUUCAAAUGGAGGAAGAACUAGCGUAUGGUCUCCAUAAUCCUUCCUGUUGUCUGAAUCGUGCCAGCCUGCCAAGAAGCGCUGCCCUGCUACGUGGCAUGCCCGUUUUCUGGCCCUUAACGAAGAGCCCGUCGGAGAUGCGCAUCUCGGCGCCUGGCAGGGUCCCAAACGACAGGCAGCUGCUCACAAGGCAUUUCGGCUUUUUGCCCCGCGCUCUCCAACACCCAAAGGUCGGUGGGGAAAAUAUCGAACAUUUUCAUACGUUUUCGUUUGUCCUGAGGUUUCGCUGGACAAGCCAAGUCCUCCCCACCCCUCCUGGUGGAAAAUAGAGCCCGCCUGCUGGUGUGCUGUUUCAUCGCGUGAAUUAAACCCCAACUGCCCGCUCUUAAAAUUUCAGAAUUCCCGCAUGAAAUCCUUCCCUGCGACGAAGGAAGUCGUCUCUCUUGUUUAAGGGCUACAGCACAUUGCUGCAGGUUUCAUGUUAAAAUGUCUCUUUGCUCCUAGUAACCCUUCAUGUUCUCUGAGACUCGUCUCUCGAGCCCUGCAAGGAAGGCAGAUUUACGUGUCACGGUUUUGAACAUUUGGUUAAUAACAACUCGUUCAUCUCCAAGGAGCAGACUGAAUACAAACAGCCAUUACCGUAAAAUAAUUUUCUAUCAAUAGUCUCUAUUUCUGCAUUUUAUUGUGUCACGUACAGAUGUGCUUCUGCUUCCCCAUUGAAGAUUGAGAUGAAUCGGCUGAGGGAGGGGAAGUACGUGUUUAAUUUUAGCUCUUUAGUACAUUUUGAAAGUAAACCCAAAUGCUUUUAUUGUGAUUCCUCGUGUACAGGUUAUUAUUAUUUAUUCAUUGUGUAGGAAGUCUUCCAUAAUGUGAAUCUAUGGUAAUACCUGACAUAGACAGACUAUUUCUUGAAAAUCAAUCCAUUACAAUUUGUUAACACUAUCACACUCUUUUAAUGUCCUCAUUUUUAAGAAUUUAUCAGUUGUGUCAUCAAGGAACUCUCAAUUUCUUCCUGAUGACCACUUGUAGUAACAGGACAAUUAUUUAUAUUUUUCUGGAUGCCAAAAUAAAUAUAGAAAAUACUUUAGCUUUACUCGCAUCCCUUCUGUGUGUGCUAUUUGGGUCACCGCACAAUAUCCUAAAAAAUAUUUUCUCGUCAUUCUACUUCUGGAACUAUAAGUGAAUAACACCAUUGAAUCUGUGAGAGUGCCAGCACAUUUUUGCUGUACAAGCAAAAUGAAAAAAUAACAAUAAUUAUUUUAAGUGUCCAUUGAGCCACAAAACAUCAAAACGAGAGUGAAAUCUCAAACAGAGAAACAGUUUUCUGGGGACAUAAUGAUGCUGCUGCUAGACAAGUAACCAUCACAUAUA